rnacentral:hammerhead_ribozyme from 3 species
AGUCGAAACGCUGAGAAGCGUCUAUCCGGGAUUAUCUCCUGAUACUGAUGAGACAGAUUCUU